UGGGGAAUCUUGCGCAAUGGGCGAAAGCCUGACGCAGCCAUGCCGCGUGAGUGAUGAAGGCCUUAGGGUUGUAAAACUCUUUCACCGGGGACGAUAAUGACGGUACCCGGAGAAGAAGCCCCGGCUAACUUCGUGCCAGCAGCCGCGGUAAUACGAAGGGGGCUAGCGUUGCUCGGAAUUACUGGGCGUAAAGGGCGCGUAGGCGGAUCAGCAAGUUGGGGGUGAAAGCCCGGGGCUCAACCUCGGAAUUGCCUUCAAAACUGCUGAUCUAGAGUACGGGAGAGGUGUGUGGAACUCCGAGUGUAGAGGUGAAAUUCGUAGAUAUUCGGAAGAACACCAGUGGCGAAGGCGACACACUGGCCCGUUACUGACGCUGAGGCGCGAAAGCGUGGGGAGCAAAACAGGAUUAGAUACCCUGGUAGUCCACGCUGUAAAACGAUGAUUGCUAGUUGUCGGCAGGCAUGCCUGUCGGUGACGCAGCUAACGCAUUAAGCAAUCCGCCUGGGGGAGUACGGUC
rnacentral:rRNA from 1 species